rnacentral:rRNA from 1 species
AGAGUUUGAUUAUGGCUCAGAUUGAACGCUGGCGGCAGGCUUAACACAUGCAAGUCGAGCGGGGAAAUGUAGCUUGCUACAUUACCUAGCGGCGGACGGGUGAGUAAUGCUUAGGAAUCUGCCUAUUAGUGGGGGGACAACAUCUCGAAAGGGAUGCUAAUACCGCAUACGUCCUACGGGAGAAAGCAGGGGACCUUCGGGCCUUGCGCUAAUAGAUGAGCCUAAGUCGGAUUAGCUAGUUGGUGGGGUAAAGGCCUACCAAGGCGACGAUCUGUAGCGGGUCUGAGAGGAUGAUCCGCCACACUGGGACUGAGACACGGCCCAGACUCCUACGGGAGGCAGCAGUGGGGAAUAUUGGACAAUGGGGGGAACCCUGAUCCAGCCAUGCCGCGUGUGUGAAGAAAGGCCUUUUGGUUGUAAAGCACUUUAAGCGAGGAGGAGGCUACCAAGAUUAAUACUCUUGGAUAGUGGACGUUACUCGCAGAAUAAGCACCGGCUAACUCUGUGCCAGCCGCAGC